AGUACCUUGGCAUGAAACACAUCUCCCGCCCCCUCAAAGGUAAAGGGAUUAAUAUGUCACCAUCCAACACAACAGUGACGAGUACCUAGGCAUGAAACACAUCUCCCGCCCCCUCAAAGGUAAAGGGAUUAAUAUGUCACCAUCCAACACAACAGUGACGAGUACCUAGGCAUGAAACACAUCUCCCCGCCCCCUCAAAGGCAAAGGGAUUAAUAUGUCACCAUCCAACACAACAGUGACGAGUACCUUGGCAUGAAACACAUCUCCCGCCCCCUCAAAGGUAAAGGGAUUAAUAUAUCACCAUCCAACACAACAGUGACGAGUACCUUGGCAUGAAACACAUCUCCCGCCCCCUCAAAGGUAAAGGGAUUAAUAUGUCACCAUCCAACACAACAUUAACAAGUACGAAAGCAUGAAAUACGUUUUCCCUGUCUCCCAACGAGCAAAAAAGAUUGACUGAUUUCUCACAAUCCAAAACAACUGUAACAAGCAGGGAAGCAUGAAUUACGUCCCCGCCCCCAACGGGAAAAAGAUUGACUGAUUUAUGAAAUUAAAUACCAUAAAAAAAAGUUGAAAUGACGUGCAAAACGCGGUGCUGCAGACUGAUCACAUGUAUUAAUGCACGCACGUCAGGGCUGAACACAAUAUAAUGACGUGCACAAUGGGGUGCUGCAGACUGAUCACAUGUAUUAAUACACGCACGUCAGGGCUGAACACAAUAUAAUGACGUGCACAAUGGGGUGCUGCAGACUGAUCACAUGUA